AAAAAAAAAAACCCGGAAAA
rnacentral:rRNA from 1 species